rnacentral:misc_RNA from 1 species
CUAUUGUAAAGGUGGAGAUAUGAGAGUGUUUAUCCUAAGCUUGCAAGCAUUUCUAUACUUGUUGACAUAUGAACUUGUUCUAUUUCUAAUUACUUAUAUUAAUGGGGACACUUCGGUAGUUUAGCCUGAUUCCUCCAGGUGCUGGUGGGAUAUUUACACAUUCUUUUGCUAGUGUUGCAUUCUGGUUAAAGGUUUCUUUUCAUUCACCCUUCUUUGAGAUAAACUAUCUAAUUAUUGAAGUAAAGUUCACUGAAUUUGUAUUUAUUCCCCAUAAGUUAAUUUUGUAUACUGAUGUCAGGUUAGGGAGGUUGGCCAGUAUGGUGAUGGAAUUUAAUCCCUCAUUAAUAAUGUUGAGAGUUUCUUUGCUUAGGGAAAACUAUAAGAAGUUUGUGAUGCCCUUGAGAAUGGUUUAAAGGACACUCAUGCAGCAACAAUCAUUGAUGAUUGUGUUAUGCGUGCUAGGAACACAGCUAUAACCGAG